rnacentral:rRNA from 1 species
AACGAACGCUGGCGGCAUGCCUAACACAUGCAAGUCGAACGAGAUCUUCGGGUCUAGUGGCGCACGGGUGCGUAACGCGUGGGAAUCUGCCCUUUGGUUCGGAAUAACAGUUGGAAACGACUGCUAAUACCGGAUGAUGACGAAAGUCCAAAGAUUUAUCGCCAGAGGAUGAGCCCGCGUGGGAUUAGCUAGUUGGUGUGGUAAAGGCGCACCAAGGCGACGAUCCUUAGCUGGUCUGAGAGGAUGAUCAGCCACACUGGGACUGAGACACGGCCCAGACUCCUACGGGAGGCAGCAGUGGGGAAUAUUGGACAAUGGGCGAAAGCCUGAUCCAGCAAUGCCGCGUGAGUGAUGAAGGCCUUAGGGUUGUAAAGCUCUUUUACCCGGGACGAUAAUGACAGUACCGGGAGAAUAAGCUCCGGCUAACUCCGUGCCAGCAGCCGCCGUAA